UUGAAUGCCUGAGACAGCAGGUGCUUUUUAAGCGUAAGGUGAAACCGCCUGCCGAGGAACGUAUAAAUUCGAUUCUUUUUUUGAUGAGAUUUUACAGAGCCUUUCUGUCUUGGGACAGGGAGGCUUUUUUU
rnacentral:sRNA from 1 species